rnacentral:rRNA from 1 species
AUUAAACGCUGGCGGCAUGCCUUACACAUGCAAGUCGAACGGCAGCACGGGGCAACCUGGUGGCGAGUGGCGAACGGGUGAGUAAAGCAGUCGGAACGUGCCCUGGAGUGGGGGAUAACGUAGCGAAAGUUACGCUAAUACCGCAUAUUCUGUGAGCAGGAAAGCAGGGGAUCGCAAGACCUUGCGCUCUGGGAGCGGCCGAUGUCGGAUUAGCUAGUUGGUGGGGUAAAGGCCUACCAAGGCGACGAUCUGUAGCUGGUCUGAGAGGACGACCAGCCACACUGGAACUGAGACACGGUCCAGACUCCUACGGGAGGCAGCAGUGGGGAAUUUUGGACAAUGGGCGAAAGCCUGAUCCAGCCAUUCCGCGUGCAGGAUGAAGGCCCUCGGGUUGUAAACUGCUUUUGUACAGAACGAAAAAGCUCUGGCUAAUACCUGGAGUCCAUGACGGUACUGUAAGAAUAAGCACCGGCUAACUACGUG